rnacentral:rRNA from 1 species
AGCUCCAAUAGCGUAUAUUAAAGUUGUUGCAGUUAAAAAGCUCGUAGUCGGAUUUCGGGGUGGCCGUGUCGGUCUGCCGAUGGGUAUGCACUGACGGGGUCGCUCUUCCGCUUGGCGACCGCGCCUACUCUUAACUGAGCGGGCGUGGGAGGCAGGCCGUUUACUUUGAGAAAAUCAGAGUGUUCAAAGCAGGCGCACGCUCUUGCAUGGAUUAGCAUGGGAUAAUGAAAUAGGACUCCGGUACUAUUUUGUUGGUUUCGAGCACACGGAGUAAUGAUCAACAGGGACAGUCAGGGGCGCUCGUAUUCCGUCGAGAGAGGUGAAAUUCUUAGACCGGCGGAGGACGAACCACUGCGAAAGCAUUCGCCAGGGAUGUUUUCA